rnacentral:rRNA from 1 species
GACGAACGCUGGCGGCGUGCUUAACACAUGCAAGUCGAACGGAAAGGCCCUGCUUUUGUGGUGUGCUCGAGUGGCGAACGGGUGAGUAACACGUGAGUAACCUGCCCUUGACUUUGGGAUAACUUCAGGAAACUGGGGCUAAUACCGGAUAGGAGCUCCUGCUGCAUGGUGGGGGUUGGAAAGUUUCGGCGGUGGGGGAUGGACUCGCGGCUUAUCAGCUUGUUGGUGGGGUAGUGGCUUACCAAGGCUUUGACGGGUAGCCGGCCUGAGAGGGUGACCGGCCAUUGUGGGAGGGAGACCGGGCCCAGCCCUACGGGGGGCGGCAGUGGGGGAUAUUUCACAAAGGGGGGGAGACCGUGGCAACGACACCCCGUGGGGGGUGGGGGGCCUCUGGGGUUGAACACCUUUUUCGACGGGGGAAAAUGGUGGGGGCGGGAAAUGGGUAAAGAAGCCCCGGUAACUUAGGG